rnacentral:lncRNA from 10 species
AAGAUUUUAUCUCUCUUCCUUUCCUCUGCUUCCCUGCUCUUGACACCCUCAUCUCCCCAAGACUCCUCCCUACCCCUGUCAUGGGGGAGGGAAUUCAAACUUCAUUUGCAGAUAAGUGACCAUCUGUCCUUCCAAAGGUUUAUGGAGAAAAGGAAGAAUUGUAUAGCCUCCUGGGAAGACAGAUUAAUCCAGAUUAGCUCUAGGCAAAGGAAUCAGCCUAUUCAAGAUAACACCAUUUAAAAAAAAAAAAAAAAAACCCCUCCUUAUUUGUCUCCAGAUCAGGUGCCUGAGCUCUGCAUGGGAAGCUGAUGAAUGAUUUAGUUAUGCUUUCCGUUUGGGGAAAGUGCCUGCUUUUAUCUCUGUGAUUGCUUCUUUAUUUGGCAACCCACAAACUUAUCUGUUUUCCCUAAUAUAAUUGCCUGGUCCCUCUCCGCAGCUCUCAGUAAUGUCAGCAGGGCUAUCUUUCCGUUUUCCUCUGGAGUUCAAUAUUGUUUAAGCAAACUAAUUGGACUCUAUUUCAUUUUGCUUUAUUUUCCUGCACCAGACCUAGCAAUUGGCUGUUUGGGUUUUGCUUGUUUUGUUCCUUCACAAAGUUUCACUGAUGAAGUUCCCAAGGAAAUUGGAUAUUGUUCUUUCUCCCCUUUUUCUUUUCUUUCCUUAUGUAAGCAUUUAUCUUCCACCUGCAGUGGGCCAGGCAUAGCUCUAGAUGAGAUGGAAUUUAGAGAGGUAAAUAAGGCUCAGUGUAAUUAUUCAAAAUGGGAGUUUCAUCCUCUUUGUGCAAUAGAGCUGCUUCUAGGACUUUCUGAGAUUUCAAAUACAAUGUAAUUCAUUUCCUGAGCUCAGUAUUUCAUUCAUUACAACCUUGUCCUUCCCAAAUAAUAAUUGUUCCAUGCCGACUUAAGUCUGGAAUUUUUUCUUCUUGAACUUAGUAGUGUCAAGACAUUGUCUCUUCACUUUGCUUAGAUAAUCUUUAUUAGGGAGCUCCCCUGUCUGGAAGUUUUAAAAUAAAAUUACCUGUAAAAAUGUGUAACCUGGCCGGACACGGUGGCUCACACCUGUUAUCUCAACACUUUGGGAGUCUGAGGUGGGCGGAUCAUGAGGUCAGGAAUUU